rnacentral:tRNA from 1 species
ACUCAGGUGGCUCAGAGGUUAAAGCCUCUGCCUCCAAUGCAGGAGACCUGGGUUCGAUCCCUGAGUC